GACGAAGGAUGCAAGCGUUAUCCGGAUUCAUUGGGUUUAAAGGGAGCGUAGGCGGACUUAUAAGUCAGUGGUGAAAUCUCCUUGCUUAACAAGGAAACUGCCAUUGAUACUGUAGGUCUUGAGUACAGUUGCCGUUGGCGGAAUAUGACAUGUAGUGGUGAAAUACUUAGAUAUGUCAUAGAACACCGAUUGCGAAGGCAGCUAACGAAGCUGUAACUGACGCUGAGGCUCGAAAGUGCGGGGAUCAAACAGGAUUAGAAACCCCCGUAGUCC
rnacentral:rRNA from 1 species